AGAGUUUGAUCAUGGCUCAGAACGAACGCUGGCGGCAUGCCUAACACAUGCAAGUCGAACGCGUGUAGCAAUACACGAGUGGCGGACGGGUGAGUAACGCGUGGGAACCUGCCCAAUGGUAGGGAAUAACUGCGGGAAACUGCAGCUAAUACCCUAUGCUCCCUACGGGGGAAAGAUUUAUCGCCAUUGGAGGGGCCCGCGUCGGAUUAGCUAGUUGGCGGGGUAACGGCCCACCAAGGCUACGAUCCGUAGCUGGUCUGAGAGGAUGAUCAGCCACACUGGGACUGAGAUACGGCCCAGACUCCUACGGGAGGCAGCAGUGGGGAAUAUUGGACAAUGGGGGAAACCCUGAUCCAGCAAUGCCGCGUGAGUGAAGAAGGCCUUAGGGUUGUAAAGCUCUUUCGGCGGGGACGAUGGUGACGGUACCCGCAGAAGAAGCCCCGGCUAACUUCGUGCCAGCAGCCGCGGUAAUACGAAGGGGGCUAGCGUUGUUCGGAAUCACUGGGCGUAAAGGGCGCGUAGGCGGCGCGACAAGUCAGGCGUGAAAGCCCCGGGCUCAACCCGGGAAUUGCGCUUGAUACUGUCGUGCUUGAGGCCGGGAGAGGAUGGCGGAAUUCCCAGUGUAGAGGUGAAAUUCGUAGAUAUUGGGAAGAACACCGGUGGCGAAGGCGGCCAUCUGGACCGGUUCUGACGCUGAGGCGCGAAAGCGUGGGGAGCAAACAGGAUUAGAUACCCUAGUAGUCC
rnacentral:rRNA from 1 species